ACCUGGUGACAAAUUUUCAUCAGUCUGAGAAGUCAAAUUGGAGAGGAGACACACGUACAGCAAAGUCAUGAAGAUGAUGAAGUUCUGUUUUGUUUUAGUAUUUCUACUGUUUACUAUCCCCCAAGAAGCCCUGUCACAGACUAAUCUCUGCCAAAAAGAUGCAGAUUGUGUUGCCAAUAACUACUGUCGUGGCUGCCUGCCCACAGUGAACCCAACUUGUGUCUUAGAGACCAAAGGACGGUGUACUUGUCCGUAUUGUGGUCCAUACUAGAGCAGAUAAGACCUGUGCAACAUAUGAAUUCCAACAGCAAGGGAUGCUUUACCUUUUAACACGGACUCCUUUUCUCUGAAAGCAAAUUUAGAAUUUGUUGUUGAAUAACUUGGAAGUAAACCCAAUAAAAUAUCUAUAAACAACACAUAUUUCUUUUGAUAGGGAGUGCCAUGUCAACUCUUUGCUUAUUAAAAGCAAAUUAAAAUUAUAAUGACAAUAAUCAUGAUUUAGGCUUCGUUCACAUGGAAAGUCU